UCGUACAACGGAGGUGCGAGGGCUGUCGCUGACUUUCAAAAGGUCGUGCACGCCCAAGCGCUCUCUCACACAUCCAUCUCACCCCCUUUGUGCAUCACCGCGUGGGUCCUCCUCACGGAGGGCUCGCGUUUUCACAUAAAACUGGAUACUGUAUAGAAUGUUUUCUUUUUUGUUUGCGGUCACACGCAAUCAAUA
rnacentral:misc_RNA from 1 species